AGUUUUUCUGUUGUAGUUUGGGAGCCACUUGGAGUAAAUGUUUCGUCAGUUACUCACAAAAAAAAAAGAUUGGCAAACCUAACAAAUAGUAUGCAAUGGGAGGGUGGGUGAGAUUUUGUCCAGGAAUUUCUGGCAUUGCAACUGAAAGAUUGGCGAGCCAAAGGACGCCCUGUUUAGUGUUACUCCUGUUGAAGCCGAGGCGUAUAGUUGAAACACACGUAUCACUUCAUCUCUUUUAUGCCUCAUCAUUGUAUAGAAACUAUGUCGGUAACCCUUUGUUUAGUGUUUCGUUGAAACUUUCCUAUGUCAUUUUCAAGUGAGAUUUUUAUUUGGUUUUAGGUAGCUGUACUGAUGUGUAAAGAAUGGUGGUUGCAGAUCAUGAGAGCCAUUCAUUUAUACUAUACCAUUCCAUUUUUAUUGCUUCAAUUUUUGUCAUUUUAGCCGCUGAAUGUAGCUGGAACAGAACAUGUUGGAAUUUUAGCAUCAGGACAUCUGGCUGGUUGGAUGAUUAAACAUCCCUCUGUGUGGACACAAACAUUGUGUCUAGUUUUCAUCUGUAGAUUAUUUCUGGGAUAAUAACUUUGUCACCGACACUGUGACUUUAAAACCAGCAGUUGAACAGCCUUUCAAUUCCAAACAAGAAAUUACUCAAGUGACAUGACACUAUAUGGCUGGUAUUGGAGUAGCUAAUGCUGGUCAUAUGCAGAAUAUCUCACUGAGAAGGGGUUCUACUGUGGAAGGAGUAUCGUGUUUUACUACAGGCUGACCAGAAUCACAAACACAUUGAUUGAAAACUAUCAUCAAU